CAGCAGCCACGGGAAUACAGAGGGUGCAAGCGUUAAUCGGAAUUACUGGGCGUAAAGCGCGCGUAGGUGGUUUGUUAAGUUGGAUGUGAAAUCCCCGGGCUCAACCUGGGAACUGCAUCCAAAACUGGCAAGCUAGAGUAUGGUAGAGGGUGGUGGAAUUUCCUGUGUAGCGGUGAAAUGCGUAGAUAUAGGAAGGAACACCAGUGGCGAAGGCGACCACCUGGACUGAUACUGACACUGAGGUGCGAAAGCGUGGGGAGCAAACAGGAUUAGAUACCCGGGUAGUCCCUGUCUCUUAUAA
rnacentral:rRNA from 1 species